rnacentral:rRNA from 1 species
GGGUGAGUAACACGUGGAUAACCUACCUAUAAGACUGGGAUAACUACGGGAAACCGGAGCUAAUACCGGAUAAUAUAUUGAACCGCAUGGUUCAAUAGUGAAAGACGGUUUUGCUGUCACUUAUAGAUGGAUCCGCGCCGCAUUAGCUAGUUGGUAAGGUAACGGAUUACCAAGGCAACGAUGCGUAGCCGACCUGAGAGGGUGAUCGGCCACACUGGAACUGAGACACGGUCCAG